GACGAACGCUGGCGGCGUGCCUAGUACAUGCAAGUAGAACGCUGAAGGAGGAGCUUGCUUCUCUGGAUGAGUUGCGAACGGGUGAGUAACGCGUAGGUAACCUGCCUGGUAGCGGGGGAUAACUAUUGGAAACGAUAGCUAAUACCGCAUAAUAGUAGAUGUUGCAUGACAUUUGCUUAAAAGGUGCAAUUGCAUCACUACCAGAUGGACCUGCGUUGUAUUAGCUAGUUGGUGGGGUAACGGCUCACCAAGGCGACGAUACAUAGCCGAUCUGAGAGGGUGAUCGGCCACACUGGGACUGAGACACGGCCCAGACGCCUACGGGAGGCAGCAGUAGGGAAUCUUCGGCAAUGGACGGAAGUCUGACCGAGCAACGCCGCGUGAGUGAAGAAGGUUUUCGGAUCGUAAAGCUCUGUUGUAAGAGAAGAACGAGUGUGAGAGUGGAAAGUUCACACUGUGACGGUAUCUUACCAGAAAGGGACGGCUAACUACGUG
rnacentral:rRNA from 1 species